GUCUCUCUCUUUCCUUCUCUCUCAAAUCAAAAAACAUAUUCCUGGUGAGGAUAAAAAAAUUUUAAUGACAAAGAAUUCUCAAGGCAGCCAAAGGAAACCCUAUUAUAUUAUCAUCUUUCAAUGGAAACAUUAUAAGCCAGGAGAAAGUGGAAGGAAAUAUUCAAAAUAUUGAAAGGAACUGUCAGCCAAGGAUAAUAUAUCCAGCAAAAUUGUCCUUUAGCUAUGAAGAAAAAUAAAGGCUUUCCCAGACAAACAAAAGCUGAGAGAAUCUACUGCAAGACCUACUUUACAAGAAAUUUUUAAAGGAGCUCUUCUACCAAAAACCAAAAAAACGAAGUAUAUAAAACUGAGUACAAUGACUAUCAGAAGUAGGAAAUUGCAACUCUACUUCAGAAUAAGAUAUUAAACACUUAAUUUAAACAUAAAGGUUAAAUGAAGGGGAUGUCAUUAAAAAAUAACUAGCUACUGCAAUUUGGUACAAUAUAAAAAGAGAUAAUUUGUGACAACAAAUUCAUGAAAGGGGAGAAGGAAAGGACUGACCAUUCACAAGGGAAUGAAGAUAAGAUGCAAUCAGAAGAAAAAGGACUACUGUAUGUAUGAGGCACUUUACAUGAGGCUAAUGGUAAACACACACAAAAAGUCAGAGCUGAGACACAAAACCUAAAAAAAGAAAACAGAAAAAAAAAUCACAGAAAACUACCAAACUGACAUAGCAGACAUAAUCACAAGAGAAAGAAACAAUGGAGAUAAGAGCAACCAGAAAACAAAAAACAAAAUGGAUAUAGUAAGUCCUCAUAUAUCAAUAGUUACCCUUAAUGUAAAUGGACUGAACCCCAAUCAAAAAUCACAAAGUAGCAGAAUAGAUUAAAAAGCAAGCUCCAACUAUAAGUUGCCUGCAGGAGACUCCUCUCAACUUCACAGACAAACAUGGGCUCAAAGUGAAGAGGUGGAAGAUGAUAUUACAUAAAUGAAAAAGACUCAAAUCAGAAAUGAAGAGAAGUUAGAAUGGACACCACGAAAAUAAAAGGAUUACAUGAGAAUUCUAUGAAAGACUAUAUGCCAUGAAAUUUGAUAGGCUAGAAGAAAUGGACAAAUUAUUUGAAGUAUACAACCUUCCUAGGAGGAAAAUCUAAAUAGGACCAUCACUAGUAGGAAAUUGAAACAGUAAUUACAAAAAAAAACCAAAAAACUGACAAUGAACAAAAGUUCAAAGUCAUUUGGUUUCACUGGUGAAGUCUACCAAACAU